rnacentral:tRNA from 1 species
GAACGGCGUAGCUCAGCUUGGCAGAGCGCUCGGCGCCCGGGCCGCCCGUGGGCGCGCCCACUGAAGGAGAGGCCGCGGGUUCAAAUCCCGUCGCGUUCCCCA